rnacentral:rRNA from 1 species
CAGCAGCCGCGGGAAUACGAAGGGUGCAAGCGUUAAUCGGAAUUACUGGGCGUAAAGCGUGCGCAGGCGGUUUGUUAAGACAGAUGUGAAAUCCCCGGGCUCAACCUGGGAACUGCAUUUGUGACUGGCAAGCUAGAGUGUGGCAGAGGGGGGUGGAAUUCCGCGUGUAGCAGUGAAAUGCGUAGAUAUGCGGAGGAACACCGAUGGCGAAGGCAGCCCCCUGGGCCAACACUGACGCUCAUGCACGAAAGCGUGGGGAGCAAACAGGAUUAGAUACCCGUGUAGUCCCUGUCUCUUAUAC